rnacentral:lncRNA from 1 species
CAUUUUAAGCCCCAAAUUCACGUACAAUAAUUAUGAAGCUACUACCACACCUGUCACCUGCUGGAUGUAGGUGCCAACGUAGGUGAGGAACCUGUGCACAUAAGUCACUUUUUUAGGUGCCACUGGUUUCUCUAUUAAAGUUAGCUCUGUGUGUAGGUCUGGCAUAAGCAUGCACCAAUGGCUCCCAAUUUGCCUAAAUAAAAUUUUCAGCUCUUUUUCUUUAUUUCUCACACUCUAAUUGACUUAUAUGGCUAGUUCCACCUUAUUUUCAACCCUUACCUUCACAAAUACGAAUAAUAAUACGUUAAUAAACUUGAAUAAAUGGAUAAACAUGAUAACUCAACUUAAAAAGUGCCAACAAGUCAUUAAUUUGCCUACUUUUUAUAGCAACCCGUAUUUCCCUAGCAUAAUCUAAGUCCCAAUACAAGAGUAUUCAUAUAUAAAAUUUUUUAAACACUCAUUUUUUUCAGUUUAGAACUUUCCAUUAAAUAGGAAAUUCAAUUAGCUUUCAAACGAUAUAAAAUUUUCCCAAAUCUAAUAACCGGCUAAGAAGUUAUGGAGAUUUUAAGUUUCAGUCAUUAAACAUCAUCAUUUUAAACCUUAACGCAUUGCAGAGACGUUCCAAAUAACAAUUGUCAAUUUCCAGCAUGACUCUGUGAUGUUGACGAAUUACGGAGCAAGCCAAUUUCUAGUGGGCCUCCUCGAUGGUGGCGCAUCGCGACACAGAGGUGGCCAAAUUGGCACAUCAAAGGAGUAAUGUGAUAGCUCCGCAUUGUGGUAUUUGUCCAGGUCCCAAUUUUCCAUUUUCUAUUGGCUUGGCGAGACAGUUGCACAUCGCGCCAAUGCCAAAAAUUGGGAUCUUCAGUUUUCAUCUUCCAUUUUAUAAUUUGUUCAAGGGUAUUUGGGUCUUUUUCCACGACCCUAAUUAACCUAAAACACGAAAUUUAAACCCUAAAAACCCUAAGUAGUCAUCAUUAUUUCAAUUCCUCACACAAUCAAUGAUCCCCUUUUCAUGAACAAGAUACCCUAGCUCUCUAAUUUAAUGCCAAUCCUCAAGAACUCGCCUAGAACUUCAAGAAAUUUACCAUCCCAGGUAUGUUAGAUGUUCAUCCAUGGAUUCCUUUAAUCCGUGGAGCCCAAGUAACCUAUUUUAAUCACCAACUUAUAAUCUUUUCCAGUUAUUAUGUUUUAAAUUAUGAUUUCAUCCAUGAAUCGCCAUGUACUAUUGAUUUUAUACUAUGCUACCAUGAAAUUAUUGUUACUAUUCAAUCCUCCAUGUUUUAACAUUAUUACUUAUUCAAUUAAACCAUGAAUUAAUGCUAUUAUAAUGAAUUCAUGCUAUUACUACAAGUUCCAUGACAUUCGUAUGAUUAUUUUAAACCAUGAACUACAAGUGUUUGAUAAAAUGCCUACAAGAGUGAUUUAUUUAAUAAAAGCCUUCAUGUUUUAAUCUCCAAGUUUUAGUGUCAUUUUACUAUUAAUGUUUUGAGUCCUGGGGGUAUUGAAUACCUAAAAUCCAUAGCUGUUUACUUAGUGUAGUCUCAGUACAUUACAAAAUAGUCUUUAGAAUAUACUAUGAGCAUGAUCAGAAUAGUCUAAUAUCAAUCACUUAAACUUAAAAAAGUCUAGUAUUUCAGUGUCUUUUACUUGGGAAUAGAAUUUAGCACCAAGCGAGUGUACGGAUAGCGGUUUCCCCAUCAUAUAGGUAGAGUUAUUUGUAGUAGUCCCUAUACUCCAGAACUACGUAUCUAGCAUAGGAUAUGAGAAGUUACCCGUCAGAUUAGGCUUGACUAUCUCGCAGGGGUCACCCGUCGGUUUUCAAUUCAGUUGUUAACACCUUAUGGCAUAUCAGUAUUUUUCCAUAUUUAUGAUAAUAUUAUCUAGUGCUCACAGCAGGUACCAGCUCAUAGGUUAACUUGUGGUCUCUCAGGAAUGUAAGCAUCAUGUGAUGCCCAGGGUGUACUCUUGGGGAGUUACAAACUUGGUAUCAGUGCUAGGUUUUAAAGUAUCCUAGGAAUUCUGAAAGCCACAUCAAGUAGAGUCUUAUGAAAGGGCGUGUAGCAUGCCAUACUUAUGGAGGAGAGUCUACAAGGCGUUUAGGAAAAGUUUCCCUUUUUUCAAUAUUCAUGUUGUGCGAGUGAGCAUGAGCUUAAGUCAAACUCCCUAUCUAAUCUAUUUCUUCCUUCUAUUUAUAGAACAUGCCUCCCAAGAAGUACAGAAGAAGAAAAAAAAACAACCAGUUCCUCGUCCUAUCUAGGUAGAUCCUCUAGACGAGCAUGUCUCUCAAAUAGAAUUCAGAGCUACAUUAACUACUCUAGCUAAUUUUGUAGUAGCACAAAAUAAAUGGCCAGCUACUGUUCUGGCCAACCCAGAGAAUUUGAGAUUUCACUCGGAUGAAUCCUCCUUCUUUCAUGGGAUCCAUGUCUGAAGAGGAUCCACAGAAAUUCUUAGAUAUGGUUCAGAAGGUUAUGAAUUCUAUGGGGGUGACAUCUAGUCAGAGUGUUGAGUUAGCAACAUACCAGUUGCAGGAUGUAUCCCAUACUUGGUUUAAGCAGUGGAAAGAUGAUAUCCAAAGGGUGUAUUUACCACUUUGUGCUAGUUAAAGACUCUAACUCAGAAACUUUAAUCCUUGAGUCAGUCUCUAUAGUCAGGGAAUUUCCAGAUGUGUUCCCUGAAGAUAUCCCUGGAGUUUCUCCCGAAAGGGAAAUCAACUUUAGAAUAGACCUUCUCCCAGAUACUCAGCCUAUAGCUAUUCUACUUUACAGAAUGGCUCUAGCUGAACUCAAAGAAUUGAAUAAAAAGUUAAGGAUCUCUUAGAUAAGGGAUUUAUCAGACCCAGUGUCUCCCUAUGGGACGCACCUAUCUUAUUCGUGUGUAAGAAAGAUAGUUCUCUUAGAAUGCGUAGUGAGUACCGUCAGUUAAACAAGGGCACAAUCAAGAAUAAAUAUCCACUUCCUAAAAUCAAUUACUUAUUUGACCAACUUCAAGGUGCUAGCUACUUUUACAAGAUAGACCUCAGAUCAGGCUAUCAUCAGCUCAGGGUCAGAGAAUGUGACAUUCCAAAAAUAGCUUUCCAAACUCGGUAUGGUCACUUCGAAUUUAUAGUCAUGUCCUUUGUCUUACAAAUGCCCCAGCAGCCUUCAUGGACUUGAUGAACUAAGUUUUCAAGCAAUACUUAUACAUGUUCAUCAUAUUCUUUAUUGAUGAUAUUUUUGUUUACUCUCGUAGCAAAAAUGAUUAUGUAGACCAUCUCAAAAUAGUACUUUAGACUCUUAGAUCUCACCAGUUGUUCUCUAAAUUCAAUAAAUGUGAAUUCUGGCUAAGAUCGGUAGCUUUCCUUAUCCAUAUUAUUUUUGGUGCUGGCAUUAGAGUUGAUCCUAAAAUGACCAAGGUGGUGAGAAACUGUCCUAGACCCAUUUCUCCAUCAGAUAUCAGGAGUUUCUUAGCUUUAGCUGGCUAUUACCAUAGAUUUGUUGAAGGGUUUUCUUAUAUUGCAUCCUACAUGUAUAGAUUUACUCAGAAAAAGUUAAGUUUUAGUGGUCAGAUUCAUGUGAGAGGAGUUUUCAGGAGUUGAAGUCUUAACUCACUUUAGCCCUAGUCUUGACUCUACCAGAUGGUUCAGAUGGUUUUGUUGUGCACUGUGAUGGAUCCAGAGUAGGUUUGGGUUGUGUCCUCAUGUAGAGAGGUAAGGUCGUAGCCUAUGCCUCCAGACAACUUAAACCCCAUGAGAAGAAUCACCCUACUCAUGAUCUUGAGUUAGCAUCUAUAAUGUUUUCCUUAACGAUUAUAAGGCAUUACUUGUAUGGGGUGCAUGAGGAUGUAUUCACAGAUCAUAAAAGCCUUCAGUAUGUAUUCUCUCAGAAAGAUUUGAAUCUGAAUCAAAGAAGGUGGUUAGAAUUAUUAAAGGAUUAUGACAUAAGUGUUCUCUAUCAUCUGGGCAAGGCCAAUGUAGUGGAUAAUGCUCUCAGUAGAUUGUACAUGGGUAGUAUAGCUCAUGUUGAGGAUGGUAAGAAACAGUUAUCUAAGGAAGUCCAUCUGCUUUCCCAACUAAGUGUUCACUUAGUCGACUCAGCAGAGGGUAGUGUGUGGAUGUGGAGUAGCUCAGAAUUAUCUCUAGUUUAUGAGGUGAGAAAAACAAGGAUAGAGAUCCCAGUAUAGUUAAGUUGAAAAAAUUAGUCAAAGAUCAGAAAGUGGAGGUUUUCUCCCAAUAGGGAGAUGUGUGUUGCAUUGUCAGGGUAGAUUUUGUGUGCCUAGUGUAGAUGACUUGAGGUAUCAAAUUCUUACAGAAGCACAUAGUACACGUUACUCUAUUCAUCCAUAGGCCACUAAAAUAUACCAUAAUUUGAUGGAGAUCUAUUAGUAGAGUAGGAUGAAGAGAGAUAUUACAGAGUUUGCAAUAAAGUAUUGUACAUGCUAGCAAGUUAAGAUUGAGCACCAAGAACCUAGUGGGUCCAUGCAGGAGUUCAGUAUUCCCACUUGGAAGUGGGAGAAAGUCAACAUAGAUUUUGUGACAGGUUUUCCUCGUACCCAUCAUCAACAUAAUUCUAUUUGGGUUAUCAUAGAUAGGAUGACCAAAUCAUCUUAUUUCUUGCUAGUCCAUACCUCUUAUUCAGCCAAGGAACAUGCCAAACUAUAUCUCAGAGAGUUGGUUAGGUUACAUAGUGUUUCUUUAUAUAUCAUCUCAGAUAGAGGUACCUAGUUUACCUCUCAUUUCUAAAAAGUAUUCCAAAAGUGUCUUGGUACCCAAUUCCAUCUCAGUAUAGCCUUCCACCCUCAAAUAGAUGGUCAAUCAGAAAGGACCAUUCAGACUCUUGAGAAUAUGCUGAGACAAUGCACAGUUGAUUUUAAAGGUAGUGGGUAUGACCACUUGCCUUUGAUUGAAUUUUUCAUACAAUAACAGCUAUCAUUCCAGUGUAUAUAUGGCUUCGUUUAAGGAUCUCUAUGGUAGGAUAUGUAGAUCUCCAAUUGGGUGGUUUGAAGUAGGUGAGGCCACAGUAGUAGGGCCUGACUUAGUAUUUGAUGCCUUACAAAAGGUUCAAUUGAUCAGAGAAAGUCUUAGGGCUGCCCAGAGAUGAAAGAAAUCAUAUGCAAAUAUGAGAAGAAAGGAUCUCUAGUUUAAGGUCAGUGAUUUUGUGUACUUGAAAAUCUCUCUCAUGAAAGCAGUGAAAAGAUUUGGCAAGAAAGUGAAACUCAAUCCCCGAUAUGUUAGUCCCUUCAGAAUUCUCAGUCAUUUUGGAAAGGUAUCUUAUGAGCUAGAGUUACCUUCAUAUCUAACCUUAGUACACCCAGUGUUCCAUGUCUCAUUUUUGAAAAAGGUAUUGGUGAUCCAUCUGUAGUUAUUCCCUUAGAAAGUGUAGAUAUUUAGAAUAGUCUUUUCUUUGAGAAGGUUCCAGUCAAAAUUAUUUAUUAUCAAGUUUGUAGACUAAGGAACAAAGAAGUUCGACUAAUCAAAGUUCUUUGGCAGAAUCAAUCCAUUGAGUGAGCCACUUGGGAAGCAGAGGCAAAUAUGCGAACCAAGUACCCUCAUCUUUUCUCUGCGAAUCCAGAUUCAGUAUAGGGUACUAAUCUUCUUAAGAUUUCUCUAUAUCAUGAUCUGUUUUAGUUUAAAAUCAUGUUCAUGUCAGUCAUGCAUUUACAAAUCAAUUCAACCAUGUAACCCAUGCAUCAGAUAUGCAUGUUAGUAUGUAAGCUCAAUCUAUCAGUUUUUCUCAGCUUAACUAGUUUCAUUAGAGGAUUAAUGAUCCCAAGGGGGAGAUACUGUAACACCCCAUAUUUCCCUAGCAUAAUCUAAGUCCUAAUACCUGAGUAUUCAUAUAUAAAUUUUUUGAAACACUUAUUAUUUUCAGUUUAGAACAUUCCAUUGCGUAGGGAAUUCAAUUAGCUUUCCAAUGAUAUAAAGUUUGCCCAAAUCCAAUAACCAGGUAAGAACUUAUGGAGAUUUUAAUUAUAGUCAUUAACCCUUAACGCAUCGCGGGGAUAGUCCAAAUGACAAUUUUUAAUUUUCAGUGUGAUUGUGCGAUGAUGUCACAUCGUGGAACAGUCCAAUUUCUAGUUUGGAAAUUUCCAGUGGGCCUCCAUGAUGGUGGCGCAUCUCGGAGGUGGCCAAAUUGGCACUUCAAAGGAUUAACGUGAUAGCUUCGCAUCUCGGUGUUUUUCCAGGUCCCAAUUGUCCCUAUUCCAGGCUUGGCGCGAUAGUGGUACGUCGCGCCAAUGCCAAAAAUUGGGAUCUUCAGUUUUUAUCUUCCAUUUUUAAAUUUGUUUAGGGGUAUUUAGGUUUUUUUUUCAUGGCCCUAAUUAACCUAAAACACGAAAUUUAACCCCUAAAUACCCUAAGUAGAUAAUCAAAGAUUCUCUUUUCAAGAACAAGAAACCCUGGCUCUCCAAUUCAAGGCCAAUCCUCAAGAACUCACCUAGAACUUCAAGAAAUUCACUAUCCCAAGUAUGUUAGAUGUUCAUCCAUGGAUUCCUUUCAUCCAUAGAUCCCAAGUAACCCAUUUUAAUCUCCAAGUUAUAUUCUUUUCAAGUUAUUAUGUUUUAAAUUAUGAUUUUAUCCAUGAAUCUCCACGUACUAUUGAUUUUGUACCAUGCUACCCUGAAAUUAUUGUUAUUAUUCAAUCCUUCAGGUUUUAACAUUAUUACUUAUUUAAUUAAACCAUGAAUUAAUGUUAUUAUGAUGAAUUUAUGCUUUUACUAGAAGUUCCAUGACAUUUCUAUGAUUGUUUUAAACAAUGAACUACAAGUGUUUGAUAAAAUGCCUAUAAGAGUGAAUACCCGAAAUCCAUAGUUGUUUACUUAGUCUCAUCUCAGUACAUUACAGAAUAGUCUUCAGAACAUACUAAGAGCAUUAUCAGUAUAGUCAAAUAUCAGUCAUUUAAACUCAAAACAGUCUAGUAUUUUCAGUGUCUUUCAGUUGGGAGUACGAUUUAGCACCGAGCGAGUGUAAGGACGGCGGCUUCCCCAUCAAAUAGGCAGAGUCAUUAGAAGAAUUCCCUAUACUCUAGAACUACAUAGCUAGCAUAGGAUAUGAAAAGUCACCCAUUAGAUUAGGCUGGACUAUCUCGCAGGGGUUACCAAUCAAUUCAGGCUUGACACCCUUAGUCCUUUAGACAUUAUAUUUGUUUAGUUGAUCCACACAACUAUCGUUAGUACCCGUGGUACGGUAUUAACACUCUUUUAAUUGGGGUUACAGGUUGGACCCCGAUUAGCUUAAAUUAGGGAAUUUCGGUUAGGUGAUACCUCCCACAGUCUUAGAUACAGUCUCAGUUACAGUCUCAGUUCAGUUAUUCAGUUUUAGUGUUGUUUGACCAAAGCAUGCAAAUUUUAGUUAUUUUAUUAUUUUAGUCUAUAGAUUUUACUCAUUCCAUUUUAUAUGCUUGUUCAUGCAUCCCUAUUGUCUAUAGAUUUUCACGUAUCUUCAAUAUUUACAGGUUAUCAUGCAUACUUGGUAUUUACAAAUUUUCCAUAUUUUUAGUACCUAUAUAUUUCAUGCUCUCUAUUCAGUAAUCAAUGCUUUACAUGCAUAUCCAGUUAAUUAUUAGUUAUGUUCAUGAAACCAUGCAUAUCAUUCUACCUCAUUUAGCAUACCAGUAGACUCAAAGUACUGAUCGUACACCUUUUCUUUUGUGCUAUGAUACAUUAUAUCAUAGGAUCUAACACUCAGUUCUCGGCUCCCGAUUAGACUUAUCAGAUCCUGAGCAGUAGUAGUGGUAAGUCCUCAUACUUCAAGGACAGUCUUAAUUUUUUCAUGUCUCAGUUAGUAGUUAGUUGGAGUUAGUUGAGGCCUAUCCCAUCAACUCAUAUUCAGUCAGUUAGUUUUAGAGUCUUUUCAGAUAUUAGAUUCAGUUAUUAGUAUUCAGACAUUAUAGUUGGUUAUCCAUUUUAUCAUUAUUUUAUUAGAUUCAGUCAGUUAUUUCUAUAGACUCAUAUUUUGAUUUUGAAUUUAGUUAUUAAAACCUUAUGUCAUAUUAGUAUUCUUCUGCAAUUAUGAUCAUGUUAUCCAGUUCUCACAGUAGGUACCAUCUUAUGGGUUAGCUUGUGGUCCCUCAAAAUUGUAAGCAUCAUGUGACGCCCAGGGUGUACUCUUGGGGUGUUACACUUUUCAAUUUCCAAACUUAAACUGCUUCUUAUCCUCAAGCAACUAAAAAUAUUCACAAUGAAAUAGAGGCAUUCAUAACCCCAAAACCUUCCAAAAGACUAUGCUAGAUAUCUAAUCUAACAAAGUUCAAAAGGGUUACUCCAGCACGUCAUAACAACAAGUAAAUCAAAUUUUUUCAAGAUGAAAAUUCUAUGUCGCAAGGAUGCAAGAAAGUAUAAAAUAAAAAUUUCAUAUCAAAUAUGACUCUAAAGGUGUGACACAAAAUCCUUUAAGAUUGUCUUAAUUUCACUAUGCAACUUAUCUUAAUCAUUUACCCUAAUUGGGAGCAAGACCUCAUCAUCCACUCCAAGGUAUUGAUUCCACUUACAUGCAAGAGCUUUCUUCACUCACACAAUACAAUGCAAUUCCAAAGGAUUGCAAAUAUCAAAAGAAUCUUCACUCACUCUCACUAAGAAAUUCAAGUACAAUGAGUAGAACCAUAGGCUUUCCCUUUGUGUUGUUCUCCACUAAUGAAACCUUAAAAAGUCAAAAAUCACCAAGGAAUUAUGGUAUAGAUGAAGGUUAAUGUGCGUGAAAGAUGUAUAUAUCAAGUGACUAUAAGACAUCCCUAGACACGAUUGUUUUAUCACCUUAUAUCUCUAUUUCUUUAAAAUUCUCCACCUUAUUCAAGUUCAUUUAUAUUCCUUGCUUCUCUUAAUCUCCAUCUUACUCCUUGACAAAUAAAUUUAGUGCAUUAUGUUAUUCAUUCACUUCUUUGCUUCUAUAAAGAGAUUUUCUAACCCUUAGCCAUCCAUGACCUCUCAUUUGUUUAAUUUUACUUCAUGUUAUAUGGGCUAGGCUUAUUUGUCUAUGUUUUCAUACACAUAUUUGUUUCAUGUAUCACAAGAUUAGAAAACCAAGAACACACCUUUCUUGACCGAUUCUAGCAUAUGUCAUAUUCCCCCAGACUUAGAAUUUGAAUCACCCAUUUGUCAUUAUCAUCUCUCUCUUCAUCCUUUUUUCUUUGUUCAUGAUUUAAAAAAGAUGUGAAGGGAGACCCCACAACUACCUCGAUAUAUCUUUUAUGCCAACCUCAA